rnacentral:rRNA from 1 species
GAUGAACGCUGGCGGCGUGCUUAACACAUGCAAGUCGAACGGAGAGGCGCUACAUUUGUAGUGUGCAAGAGUGGCGAACGGGUUUGUAACACGCGAGUAACCUGCGCUUGACUUUGGGAUAACUUCAGGAAACUGGGGCUAGUACCGGAUCGGAUCACGUGCUGAAUGGUGGGGGUUGGGACGUUUGGGCGGUUGGGGAUGGACUAGCGGCUUGUCCGCUUGGUGGUGGGGUAGUGGCUUACCAUGGCUGUGACGGGUAGCCGGCCUGAGCGGGUGACCGGCCACAUUGGGACUGAGAUGCGGCCCAGACUACAACGGUAGGCAGCAGUGGGGAAUAUAGCACAAGGAGCGGAAGCCUGAUGCAGCAACGCCGCGUGCGUGAUCACGGCCGGCGGGUUGUAAGCCGCGUUCGCCUGUGACGAACGGUGAGUGACGGUAACGGGCAAAGAAGCCCCGGCUAACUACGUG